AUUGAACGCUGGCGGCAGGCCUAACACAUGCAAGUCGAACGAGUGGCGGACGGGUGAGUAAUGUCUGGGAAACUGCCUGAUGGAGGGGGAUAACUACUGGAAACGGUAGCUAAUACCGCAUACCAUCAGAUGUGCCCAGAUGGGAUUAGCUUGUUGGUGGGGUAACGGCUCACCCAGGCAACGAUCCCUAGCUGGUCUGAGAGGAUGACAAGCCACAAUGGAAAUGAGACACGUUCCAGACUCCUACGGGAGGCAGCAGUGGGGAAUAUUGCACAAGGGGCGAAAGCCUGAUGCAGCCAUGCCGCGUGUAUGAAGAAGGCCUUAGGGUUGUAAAGUACUUGCAGCGAGGAGGCGUUACCCGCAGAAGAAGCACCGGCUAACUCCGUGCCAGCAGCCGCGGUAAUAC
rnacentral:rRNA from 1 species